UCCUGAGCAGCGUUGAGACGACGGUUCAAUCCCUAAACGCCCGGAUGAGAGCAGCAGGCGACAUUCAGGGCAACAUGGUCGCAUGAGUCGGCCGACUCGAGGACAACCAUUCUGGGGGGACGACAGCCACUGCUGGAAUCUGAGACAUUUUCGACGCUACCCACGGAGAACGGUUCUGGGAAAAUACAGGCAGUGAUAGAGGCGUGGAGGCGAGGAAGAACAGCACAUUUCCCCCUUGCGGUGUCCUAUUUCCUUGGUGAAGGAACGUGCAGACAGGCUGUCUCACACUAAGCUAUGGAAUGCUCCCUGCACCCACCAUCACUAGUCUCCAAUCUUUGGACUGAGCUCCAAACGCUUAGUUAGCGGCUGUGCUUCUCCCCUCGAACUCUUUACAACCAGGGGACGAAGAAAAGGAGUGGGCUUACCAAGUCCUCCGCUAAAAACGCACAGAGCACUUCUCUUUUUGUAGAUUAUUUAAGCUAAUUUUUUUGUUUUUCUCCACUUGGAUUUUUUUUGGGUGAAAUCAUAUCAAGAUGGAUAUGGAUUCGUAUUUGUGGAUGGUGAUUCUUGGCUUCAUCAUUGCCUUCAUCCUGGCCUUUUCAGUGGGCGCCAAUGAUGUGGCCAAUUCAUUCGGCACAGCUGUGGGGUCCGGCGUGGUCACACUGAAGCAGGCCUGCAUCCUGGCAUCCAUCUUUGAGACACUGGGCUCAAUGCUACUGGGGGCCAAAGUGGGUGAGACGAUUCGGAAGGGCAUCAUAGAUGUCAGCCUGUACAAUGAGACCGUGCCCGUGCUCAUGGCAGGGGAGGUCAGCGCCAUGGUCGGGUCAGCAGUCUGGCAGCUAAUCGCCUCCUUCCUCAAACUGCCCAUCUCUGGAACUCACUGCAUUGUUGGUGCCACCAUCGGUUUCUCCAUGGUGGCCAUCGGCACCAGGGGUGUACAGUGGAUGCAGCUCGUUAAGAUUGUGGCAUCAUGGUUCAUCUCCCCCUUGCUCUCUGGACUCAUGUCUGGACUCCUCUUCGUGCUCAUCAGACACUUCAUCCUCAACAAGGAUGACUCUGUCCCUAACGGCCUGCGUGCGCUGCCCCUCUUUUACGCCUCCACCAUCGGGAUCAACACAUUUUCCAUCAUGUACACUGGAGCCCCACUGCUUGGGUUAGAGAUGCUACCGGUGUGGGCCAUCUUUCUAAUAACUUUAGCCGGGUCGCUGGUCUGUGCAGCUCUGGUGUGGAUAUUCGUGUGUCCUUGGAUGAGGAGGAAAAUAGCAAGUCGUCUAAAGAAGGAGCAGGCUCUGUCCAGGAUCUCUGAUGAGAGCCUGGACAAGAUACCUGAAGAGGAGGAGGAGAGUCCCGUCUUUAAGGAGCUUCCAGGGGCCAAGGGAACAGAUGAGGCUGUGUUGCCGCUUACCGGGGGCAGCAGUGACCGGGGCACCCGUGACUCCAGUGGAGAGCUCACCAACCUGGCUAAUGGAGGCACCGUCCUGCCUAAUGGCAGGGUCUAUGGUCGGACCCACUCAAUGACCAACGGUUGCCUCAAGUCACCCGUCUCUAAUGGCAGCUUCAGCUUCGAUGGCCACAUGCGUAGCGAUGGCCAGGUGUACCACACAGUACAUAAGGACUCAGGUCUCUAUAAAGACCUGCUUCACAAAAUCCACCUGGGCCGCAUGGAUGACAACGAGCGUUCAGGCUCCAACGCCGGCCCGCCUGACAACAACUACCGCCUGCUGCGCCGCAACAACAGCUACACUUGCUACACAGCAGCGAUAUGCGGCAUGCCCGUCCAGCCGCUCAUACGCACAGAGUCACGUGAGGACAGUGAAAAGCUGGUAGGUGAGGGAGGCGGCAGGAGCAACAGUGUGUCCUACUCGAAGAAGAGGGUACGCUAUGAUAGCUACUCAUCGUACUGUAACGCUGUGGCUGAGGCUGAAAUUGAGGCAGAGGAGGGUGGGGUGGAGAUGAAGCUGGCCACAGAGCUGGAGGGGGUGGAGGAAGAAGGGGCUCCAGCUCCAGGACCUCUGGACGACUUGACGGAAGAGGAUCACGAGGAGAAGGACAAGCCUGAGGUGUUCCAGCUUUUCCACUUCCUGCAGAUCCUCACCGCCUGCUUCGGGUCCUUUGCCCACGGAGGCAAUGAUGUCAGUAAUGCCAUUGGGCCUCUGGUGGCGCUGUGGAUGAUCUACGACCAGGGAGGUGUUAUGCAAGAUGCGGCCACUCCCAUCUGGCUGCUGUUUUACGGUGGUGUAGGCAUCUGCGCCGGCCUGUGGGUGUGGGGCCGCCGCGUCAUCCAGACCAUGGGGAAAGACCUGACUCCCAUCACCCCUUCAAGCGGAUUUUGCAUUGAAGUAAUGAGUGCGCUAACAGUGCUUGUUGCAUCAAAUGUGGGCAUCCCAAUAAGCUCCACCCACUGCAAGGUAUUGGAGUCAUUGGUAGUGAAGCUGUGUUAGAGAGCCCGAACCAGAGCUCCACUUCAUCGCUUCACCUGUAGCUGUCAAUCGCCAAAGCCAAUCACAACUCCCGCAGUUGAAGUUUUGACCUCUCGUGCAGUUUUCCUCUGGCAGCAAAAUCUCUCAAGUUUGCCCAUAAAGGGAGCUUUGUAACAUUAAGGAAAAGCUUGAGGAAAUUCGAUGCAAGUUUAUUAGAAAUAGAGCUGAGACAGCAGAGAAAAGGUAGAGAGACUCAUGAGCGUUUAUCAUCCUGAGAUGUUUUAUCUGAUAUUGUUUAUUUCCAUUUUAGUUUUUAUUUCCAUUUUUUCUUUUUUUAUUUUGAUCGACUUCACAUUUUCUUUUGUUCUUUAAAGUAUCACAUUUUUCUGCUGUUAGUCUUUUAUUUAUUUAUUUUCAAUUGAACAGAAGUUUGAUCAUGGAGAUGUCAAACCUGAGUUUGUGUUCCUGUAACAUAAGCAAAGAUAUUUAAAGGAAUAGGUCGACAGUUUGGGAAAAUAUUGAGCAAUAGCCUUUAAUUGUGCAGCCUCCAAUUUGAUGGGGGAACACGUUAAGCCUAAACAUGGGAUAGUAUUUUAGUGGAUAACUGCUGCACUACUGAAAACAUAAAAGUAACAUAUCAUAUAACAUAUGUAUUUUUUAUUUAGAUAAACACUUUUUAAAAAAUGUCAAGUCUGCUUAUGGGAAACUGCACAAGACUCAAAACUGGUAUUUAAUUACUGAUGAUCAAUUUGUCUAAACAUCAACAUCGCCAUCCAUACCUUAUUUUAUUUCUCACCUCCAAACACCUUUGUCUCUUCUUUAAACCAUGGAUAAUCCACUGCUAUGCAAAAAUGCUAAAUCUACUGAUGGUUAGAGUCAAUCAUGGUGGUGAUUUGAUUGAUUUAGUGACUGUGUCUGAGGGGGUCCACAGAUGUUGUUGGACAAAAUCAUCAUUUUAAAGAUAUAAAUCAAAUUUCAAUACAGCUUUUCAUUUUAAAGCUUUUUUCUUGAUUUAAAGAUUUUUAAAAUUAAAAUUUUCAGAAAAUAGCCCACAACAUCUGUCAACAUCUCCCAGACGGCUGUGAGGAAGUGUGUAUGCGUGUGUGAAUGAGACUCAGUGGGCAUCCAUUUAGUUUGGUCUCUGAUCAGUCAGUGCGGCUUGACCCUUAUCUUUACGCAUUUUAUAGUUUUUUUUUUCAUUUCUGUGGAGGUUAAACUGAAUUGAUGCCCAGCCCUGAUGUGUGGGGCAGUAUUGUGCGAUUAUGUACAGUGACUCGUUGUUUCAAAAGCUCUGCAGGCAGUCGGCAGCAUAAACACUGAGGUCACACUGAGUUCAGGCUUUGUAGCUGCAUGCCUGAAAUACUACAUAUUGCAAAUGUACAUAUUCUUCCGCACAGGCUCUCUGCUUCUCAAAGGCUGCCUGUAGAAUAACGCUAAUUAUCCAAAAUGAGUUUUUUUAUGUUGUCUAGCACUAGUGUAACCUUUGGUAGGACUGACCUGUGGACUACAAACAUGACUGGUCUCCGCUGACCUUCCACAUUUAGUUGUGAGUGUGACAGAGCAUGUAUCAUGUUUCUCUGGCCGUAUAAGAGCAGGCAAACACAGUUUAAUUCCCGCCCAACUGCGGUGUGAACAGAGCUGAAACCAGUCACUGCACAUGCUGCUCCAGCACACUGAAGUGUCUGAAAUGUGUUUGUGUGUCUUCUCCAAAAUUAAUUCACAUUCAGUGGUAUUCUGAUUUGAUUUCUUUCAUAAAGGUGAGUGAAGAAAGCAUCAGUGGAAGUCUGACAUUUGCAGAUAGAUUUGCAUUAUUUUUUCUUUGAGACUUACAGCCUAAUGAAGAGGAUAAUAUUUGAUAUAUGAUAGACUAGACCUGCUAGUUUCAGACUUCCACACCCACAAAUUGAAUUUAGGUAGUCAUAACUAUUAUAAUUGGCUUGCUCAAACUAACACAGACAUUUUGGACCGAGCUGGUCUUGAAGAGCUGAAGGCUGUGUACAGGCUUUUCUGUUCAGAUGCUAGUAUUGUGUGUUGCCACCUUUUGUGUGUGUGUGUGUGUGUGUGUGUGUAACAAUUUCAAGGUACUUGGAUAUUUCACUUUUCUUCUACUUUAUUUAUUCAUUCAAGUGAAGUAAUGUAUUUUUUAGUCCUUUAAUUUACUUAGUUGGUUUGCAGAUAUGCCUGAGCCCAAACAUACCGUAUCAUUUCCACCAGUCGCCACUGGCAGUUUAUUCAUCAGCUGCUGUUGUUUAGGUCCAUUAGAGCUAGACAGACAAAUAAUGGCUCAACAUGGCGUAAUAUCCAAACUGGGCAGGGAAACAGAUGCCUGAUAAAAGAAGCAGGCAUUAUCUGAACACAAAACGAUCAGUUGCUCUUGAAAACCGUCCAUCACAAGGAAAGCCUGGACAACCUGCAGCUCUUCAGUGUCUUUGACUUUACCACUUUAACAACAUUUCUGCCGCUGAUUGUUUUGUUUUCUUCUCAUCUGGCUGUGGCCUCCAGGUGGGCUCAGUCGUGGCCGUGGGUUGGAUCCGCUCCCAGAAAGCGGUGGACUGGCGCCUCUUCAGGAACAUCUUCCUGGCGUGGUUCGUCACGGUGCCCGUGGCCGGCCUGUUCAGCGCUGCCAUCAUGGCCCUGUUUGUCUA